GCUAAACCUGCGGGAUAGUCUGGGAUACCACUUGGAAACAGCAACUAAUACCGAAUUUAAAGCAGAUCGCAUGAUCAGCUUAUUAUUGCGGCGUAAGCUGUCGCUAUGGGAUGGCGCUGCGGUGCAUUAGCUAGUUGGUAGGGUAACGGCCUACCAAGGCAAUGAUGCAUAGGUAGUUGAGAGACUGAUCGGCCACAUUGGGACUGAGACACGGCCCAAACUCCUACGGGAGGCAGCAGUAGGGAAUCUUCCACAAUGGACGAAAGUCUGAUGGAGCAACGCCGCGUGAGUGAAGAAGGUUUUCGGAUCGUAAAGCUCUGUUGUUGGUGAAGAAGGAUAGAGGUAGUAACUGGCCAUGUUGACGGUAAUCUUCAGAAAGUCACGGCUAACUACGUGCCAGCAGG
rnacentral:rRNA from 1 species